GACCCGAAGCCGAAAAAAACAAAACCAACAGGAAUAUUUGCAUAAAUUCAGUUAUUUGCUUGAUUAAAAAUGAAACUGCAUUUUAAAAUACAUGGGCCCCACUAUAGAUAUGGAUCCAAUUGACGGGUCGGAUCAUGUAACAACGUCUCUUAUACUUGGAAGUAGCGACUAAAUUCCUUCCUUGCUUCAACGAUGUAUUACAGUACGAUUUUUGGAUCUUGUAUUCAGUGAAUGAAGAGUUAUGAACGAUUUGAAGGUCACGAAUUCAAGUGGCGGAAAUAAAAUAUCAGCUUUCCGGAAGUCUUGGUCAGGUGAUUGCUACAGGUUCUGAGUAAUGACUUGGCCUUUGUUCAGGCAUGUCAUCAAUCACUUGCAAACCAAAUGGAAAACAUCUGUAGGGGCAAACUUUUGGACCUUCAGAUAACAGCAAAAGUAUAUUGAAUUUCUGUGUGAUGACUCAGUCACCCAGUGAAAAUAUGUGCUUGAAGCGGUGACAUCUGGUGGUUAAUUUCUGAUGGCUCAACAAUCGGUGCUUCUCAAGAAGCAAUUCACAAUACCAUGAUUGAACCAGAGGCUUCAUAGAUUCUUGGUCCAUGGAGCAUUCAUCACAGGAAGACGUGUUGCAGUGUGUCUCAUUGCAUACUGCCUUUUCUGGACUGGUAUUGAGUGAAUUGCUCAUGAUAUCGUAUCAAUUUUUUCCAAGAGGUAUAGUUAUCAUUUGAGAGAAACGCAAAUACUUGGGGUUAUUAGAUUUCCAUCUUCAAAUGAAGUUUCACAGAACCAAAGGAACUUUAGGAGCACUUCUCCAGAGUAAAGCACAACUUCUGAAUUAGAUUUCUCUUAGGCCUUAGCUGUGCUUCUGCAAGAUUCUCCUGGUCUUUUAACGGAGUAUGUUGAGCAGAAAGGCAUUGACUCAGUUACCAGAUUUUUCUAGUGAAAGUUUCUGUAUGUAUCCAUUUUUGAUUUUUGCCUGUGCACACUGUACUACACCUGAAGUUGAAGCAUUUUGGUUGAUGAUUUGUGUCAUUUUCCUCACCUUUGGCCUCCUUUAGCUCAAAUCCUCAUUCCAUCAUUGUUUCAUGUGCAUCUGGCAAUAAAAAAGUACUAGUGAGUUGUGUUGAAACAACGAAUACUAUUUUUUGUCACAUUAUAAUAACUUAUUACCCGGAUUGAAGGGUACAACCAUGGAUUAUCACUCAGGCUAGAUUCUUGUGUUGGUAUCGGUGUUCUAAGAUAAACGUUUGAUCUUAAUUUUGAUGUCAAGCUGUCUCAUCUAAUGGAGAAUCCAGUCAGAUGUGUUCCUUGCAGGAUAAAUACUCAAAAACAGAUAAAGAAAACAAAUGAAUCAGUAAUUAAGAGGCUCGUAAACGAGAAAGGGAAGAGAUUUUUCCCCAUGGUGCAUAUCUAAUAAUUGCAAUAUGAAGAAAGGAGCAAAGAGAAAGGAGGAAACCCGAUAAUAUGUAUCUCACUUUUCUACAGGUUGUGAGAAUUCUUGGUCACAUGAUUGUUACAGUUUCUGGAAUAAUGACUUUCGCGUUUGCUCAAGCAUGUCAUCAGGCACUUGUAACUUGCAAGUAAGGGUUUGUGGACAUUUUACCAAGUCCAACUUAAGCAAUAACCAAUAUGGUGCUGCUUAUCAAACACACCAGCAUUUUGAGGCGUUUUGCCUGCAGGAACAAGCUUUUGGACCUUCCACAAAGUAUAUAGAAUUUCUGUAUGAUGGACCCAGUUAUGGGUGAUUCUAUGUGCUUCGAGCGAUAACAUCUUUCUUGCUUGCCUUCAAAUGUUUGAUUUAUUGUGUAAAUGUCUUUGGUUAAAGGGCAGAUGGAUCAACAGUCGAUGCUUCUCAAGAAGCAAUUCACUAUAUCACUGAUCAAGCAAUACUAGGCUCACUGUGUAUUCAGCACGGGAGGACAUGUUGUAGAUGUGUUUCUUUGCCUCCUGUUAUUAGAUUGGUAUCGUAUUGGAGUGCAUUGCACAUGAAUUCGUCUCUUUGAAAGUAUAAGAUUUCAGCUCUUA